rnacentral:rRNA from 1 species
UAAGGAAUAUUGGUCAAUGGACGCAAGUCUGAACCAGCCAUGCCGCGUGAAGGAUGAAGGUCCUCUGGAUUGUAAACUUCUUUUAUGGGGGACGAAAUCUACUAUUCUUAGUAGUCUGACGGUACCCUAGGAAUAAGCACCGGCUAACUCCGUGCCAGCAGCCGCGGUAAUACGGAGGGUGCAAGCGUUAUCCGGAUUCACUGGGUUUAAAGGGUGCGUAGGAGGGCAGGUAAGUCCGUGGUGAAAUCUCUGAGCUUAACUCGGAAACUGCCAUGGAUACUAUCCGUCUUGAAUGCGGUGGAGGUGAGCGGAAUAUGUCAUGUAGCGGUGAAAUGCUUAGAUAUGACAUAGAACACCGAUUGCGAAGGCAGCUCGCUACACCUGCAUUGACUCUGAGGCACGAAAGCGUGGGGAUCAAACA